AUUUAAGUAGUUUAUAAAAAAUAUUGAUUUGUGGGAUCGAAGAAAUUUCAAUAAUCUUAAAUA
rnacentral:tRNA from 1 species